GCUCCAAAUACAUCCAGAGAUGAGAAGAAAGACGGUGACCUGAUUCUGGAAGUUCAGAUGUCCAUGUUGGUGACCUGAUUCAGGAAGUCUUUCAGGAGGAUAUCAAGCUUGGAUCUUGGAUAGAACUGGGAUGCGAGGCACUGGUGAUUGGGCAAUAUCCCUGCCUGUAGGAUUCUUUGUGGAAUGCUGGAUAUUCAUAUUCUGGUCUUUUCUUAUCUCUGGUUGCCUCAGGGAAGUAAGAACCCAUCUGGGAAAGAGAGGACAGGACUGAAGAGGGACUCAAGGAAGUUGAGCUUACUGGAUUGGGGGUGAAUGUUAAAGUUCCAGUUUGAACAGAGCCCAAGCUGGAGACCAGGAGAAUCUAGAGGAAGGAGGUGACACAGGCCUGCUCCUAGUCUGAUGGGAAAACCUACGUUAUACCCUCAAAGAACCCCAAUCUGAUGGAGUUUUGCUGUUGUUGCCCAGAUUGGAGUGCAGUGGUACGAUCUCAGCUCACUGCAACCUCUGCCUCCUGGUUUCAAGCGAUUCUUCUGCCGCAGCCUCCUGGGUAGCUGGGAUUACAGGUAUCCGCCAUCACG
rnacentral:lncRNA from 10 species